UUUCAAAAAUUACUAUAGUUAAGUGGCUAUUAAGGUGCUAUAGCUACAAUAUCAAGUUAGAAGUCUUUUAAAGUAGAGAUUAAUUUAAACACCUCAGUGACUGGCUGCCAGCAUAUCUAAAGCUGAAGAAAAUCUCACCCAACAGAUGUUCGCAAAGCCACGUGGCAGAACAAAGGCCUCUAUCUGGUUUGGAAGAAUCACAAGGGAAAUCCCAAAACAAAGCAAGAACCAAUUAGCAGCUGCUGAGGUGUCAUCUUGUAAUCCUGAAAAUCCAUUAAUUUUGCAUAAAUAGCCCCCACCUUACUUCUUCCCUUCAUAUCAAACUCAACAGAAAAGAAAAAAAGAAGCUUCUUUAGUUCACCAAUUAAAAAAAUGGCCACUUCUGCAAUUCAACAAUCUGCAUUUGUUGGCCGGACAGUGGCUAAAUCACAAAAUGAGCUUGUUAGGAAAAUUGGCAGCUUUGGCGGAGGCCGUGCUACCAUGAGACGUACUGUUAAAAGUGCUCCUCAAAGCAUCUGGUAUUGCUUUUAUUUCAAAUUUAUUUAUACAUUUAUACCUUUUUCUUAUUUUUAUAUAAAUCCAUGAAGAAUUAACUCAAAUAGCCCGUGAAUGUAUAAUAUAUACAUAAUUUAUGUACUAUAUGUAUAUAAUUAUGUAUAUAAUUAAAAAAGUAAACAAUUAAUAUGGCCGGUUAUUUGUGUAAAGAUCCCUGAAUCCAUUGUGUGUAACCAUACCUGUCCUUUGAUUAAAUAGGUAUGGAGAAGACCGUCCAAAGUAUUUGGGCCCAUUCUCUGAGCAAACUCCAUCUUACCUUACUGGUGAAUUUCCUGGUGACUACGGAUGGGACACUGCUGGACUCUCAGCUGACCCAGAGACAUUCGCCAGAAACCGUGAACUUGAGGUGAUCCACUGCCGUUGGGCCAUGCUUGGUGCAUUGGGUUGUGUCUUCCCUGAAAUUCUUUCAAAGAACGGUGUUAAAUUCGGUGAAGCCGUUUGGUUCAAGGCAGGAGCCCAAAUCUUUUCAGAAGGUGGACUCGACUACCUCGGCAACCCAAACCUCGUCCAUGCCCAGAGCAUCCUCGCCAUUUGGGCUUGCCAAGUUGUCCUAAUGGGCUUGAUUGAAGGAUACAGGGUUGGUGGAGGCCCACUUGGUGAAGGUCUUGACAAGAUCUACCCAGGAGGUGCCUUCGACCCACUUGGCCUUGCUGAUGAUCCCGAGGCUUUUGCUGAGUUGAAGGUUAAGGAAAUCAAGAACGGACGAUUGGCAAUGUUUUCAAUGUUCGGAUUCUUUGUUCAGGCUAUUGUUACAGGAAAAGGCCCAAUCG
rnacentral:lncRNA from 1 species